ACCCACAACACCCACCCCGGUCGCGCAGUUGUCGUCGUCAUCAUCGUCACGGUCGUCACCGUCGUCACAAUUCCUCUGGGAUCUGUGUAAUGAGCAGUGGUGAUGCUGGCCAAUUGGGGGCUCAAGAACAGCAGAGAUGAGUGAUGAGAUGUAGACCAGAGAGAGAUGUUGAUGUCUAGAGGUGACUGAUGAGAUGUAGACCAGAGAUGUUGAUGACUAGAGGUGACUGAUGAGAUGUAGACCAGAGAUGUUGAUGACUAGAGAUGACUGAUGAGAUGUAGACCAGAGAUGUUGAUGACUAGAGGUGACUGAUGAGAUGUAGACCAGAGAUGUUGAUGACUAGAGGUGACUGAUGAGAUGUAGACCAGAGAUGUUGAUGACUCGAGGUGACUGAUGAGAUGUAGACCAGAGAUGUUGAUGACUAGAGGUGACUGAUGAGAUGUAGACCAGAGUUGUUGAUGACUAGAGAUGACUGAUGAGAUGUAGACCAGAGAUGUUGAUGACUAGAGAUGACUGAUGAGAUGUAGACCAGAGAUGUUGAUGACUAGAGAUGACUGAUGAGAUGUAGACCAGAGAUGUUGAUGACUAGAGAUGACUGAUGAGAUCUAGACCAGAGAUGUUGAUGACUAGAGAUGACUGAUAAGAUGUAGAUCAGAGAUGUUGAUGACUAGAGAUGACUGAUGAGAUGUAGACCAGAGAUGUUGAUGACUAGAGGUGACUGAUGAGAUGUAGACCAGAGAUGUUGAUGACUAGAGGUGACUGAUGAGAUGUAGACCAGAGAUGUUGAUGUCUAGAGAUGACUGAUGAGAUGUAGACCAGAGAUGUUGAUGACUAGAGGUGACUGAUGAGAUGUAGACCAGAGAUGUUGAUGUCUAGAGAUGACUGAUGAGAUGUAGACCAGAGAUGUUGAUGACUAGAGAUGAUUGAUGAGAUGUAGACCAGAGAUGUUGAUGUCUAGAGAUGACUGAUGAGAUGUAGUCCAGAGAUGUUGAUGACUAGAGGUGACUGAUGAGAUCUAGACCAGAGAUGUUGAUGACUAGAGAUGACUGAUAAGAUGUAGACCAGAGAUGUUGAUGACUAGAGAUGACUGAUGAGAUGUAGACCAGAGAUGUUGAUGACUAGAGAUGACUGAUGAGAUCUAGACCAGAGAUGUUGAUGUCUAGAGAUGACUGAUGAGAUGUAGACCAGAGAUGUUGAUGUCUAGAGAUGACUGAUGAGAUGUAGACCAGAGAUGUUGAUGACUAGAGGUGACUGAUGAGAUCUAGACCAGAGAUGUUGAUGACUAGAGAUGACUGAUGAGAUAUAGACCAGAGAUGUUGAUGACUAGAGAUGACUGAUGAGAUGUAGACCAGAGAUGUUGAUGACUAGAGGUGACUGAUGAGAUCUAGACCAGAGAUGUUGAUGACUAGAGAUGACUGAUGAGAUGUAGACCAGAGAUGUUGAUGACUAGAGGUGACUGAUGAGAUGUAGACCAGAGAUGUUGAUGACUAGAGGUGACUGAUGAGAUGUAGACCAGAGAUGUUGAUGUCUAGAGAUGACUGAUGAGAUGUAGACCAGAGAUGUUGAUGACUAGAGGUGACUGAUGAGAUGUAGACCAGAGAUGUUGAUGUCUAGAGAUGACUGAUGAGAUGUAGACCAGAGAUGUUGAUGACUAGAGAUGACUGAUGAGAUGUAGACCAGAGAUGUUGAUGUCUAGAGAUGACUGAUGAGAUGUAGACCAGAGAUGUUGAUGACUAGAGAUGACUGAUGAGAUGUAGACCAGAGAUGUUGAUGACUAGAGAUGACUGAUGAGAUCUAGACCAGAGAUGUUGAUGUCUAGAGAUGACUGAUGAGAUGUAGACCAGAGAUGUUGAUGACUAGAGAUGACUGAUGAGAUCUAGACCAGAGAUGUUGAUGACUAGAGAUGACUGAUGAGAUGUAGACCAGAGAUGUUGAUGACUAGAGGUGACUGAUGAGAUGUAGACCAGAGAUGUUGAUGUCUAGAGGUGACUGAUGAGAUGUAGACCAGAAAUGUUGAUGACUAGAGAUGACUGAUGAGAUCUAGACCAGAGAUGUUGAUGUCUAGAGAUGACUGAUGAGAUGUAGACCAGAGAUGUUGAUGUGUAGAGAUGACUGAUGAGAUGUAGACCAGAGAUGUUGAUGACUAGAGGUGACUGAUGAGAUCUAGACCAGAGAUGUUGAUGACUAUAGAUGACUGAUGAGAUGUAGACCAGAGAUGUUGAUGACUAGAGAUGACUGAUGAGAUGUAGACCAGAGAUGUUGAUGACUAGAGGUGACUGAUGAGAUCUAGACCAGAGAUGUUGAUGACUAGAGAUGACUGAUGAGAUCUAGACCAGAGAUGUUGAUGUCUAGAGAUGACUGAUGAGAUGUAGACCAGAGAUGUUGAUGACUAGAGAUGACUGAUGAGAUCUAGACCAGAGAUGUUGAUGACUAGAGAUGACUGAUGAGAUGUAGACCAGAGAUGUUGAUGUCUAGAGGUGACUGAUGAGAUGUAGACCAGAAAUGUUGAUGACUAGAGGUGACUGAUGAGAUGUAGACCAGAGAUGUUGAUGACUAGAGAUGACUGAUGAGAUGUAGACCAGAGAUGUUGAUGACUAGAGAUGACUGAUGAGAUGUAGACCAGAGAUGUUGAUGACUAGAGAUGACUGAUGAGAUCUAGACCAGAGAUGUUGAUGACUAGAGAUGGCUGAUGAGAUCUAGACCAGAGAUGUUGAUGUCUAGAGAUGACUGAUGAGAUGUAGACCAGAGAUGUUGAUGACUAGAGAUGACUGAUGAGAUGUAGACCAGAGAUGUUGAUGACUAGAGGUGACUGAUGAGAUGUAGACCAGAGAUGUUGAUGUCUAGAGGUGACUGAUGAGAUGUAGACCAGAGAUGUUGAUGACUAGAGAUGACUGAUGAGAUCUAGACCAGAGAUGUUGAUGUCUAGAGGUGACUGAUGAGAUGUAGACCAGAGAUGUUGAUGACUAGAGAUGACUGAUGAGAUGUAGACGAGAGAUGUUGAUGACUAGAGAUGACUGAUGAGAUGUAGACCAGAGAUGUUGAUGACUAGAGAUGACUGAUGAGACGUAGACCAGAGAUGUUGAUGACUAGAGAUGACUGAUGAGAUGUAGACGAGAGAUGUUGAUGACUAGAGAUGACUGAUGAGAUGUAGACGAGAGAUGUUGAUGACUAGAGGUGACUGAUGAGAUGUAGACCAGAGAUGUUGAUGUCUAGAGAUGACUGAUGAGAUGUAGACCAGAGAUGUUGAUGACUAGAGAUGACUGAUGAGAUGUAGACCAGAGAUGUUGAUGUCUAGAGAUGACUGAUGAGAUGUAGACCAGAGAUGUUGAUGACUAGAGAUGACUGAUGAGAUGUAGACCAGAGGUGUUUAUGACUAGAGAUGACUGAUGAGAUGUAGACCAGAGGUGUUGAUGACUAGAGAUGACUGAUGAGAUGUAGACCAGAGAUGUUGAUGACUAGAGAUGACUGAUGAGAUGUAGACCAGAGAUGUUGAUGACUAGAGAUGACUGAUGAGAUGUAGACGAGAGAUGUUGAUGACUAGAGAUGGCUGAUGAGAUGUAGACCAGAGAUGUUGAUGGCUAGAGAUGACUGAUGAGACGUAGACCAGAGAUGUUGAUGACUAGAGAUGACUGAUGAGAUGUAGACCAGAAGUGUUGAUGACUAGAGAUGACUGAUGAGAUGUAGACCAGAGAUGUUGAUGACUAGAGAUGACUGAUGAGAUGUAGACGAGAGAUGUUGAUGACUAGAGAUGACUGAUGAGAUGUAGACCAGAGAUGUUGAUGACUAGAGAUGACUGAUGAGACGUAGACCAGAGAUGUUGAUGACUAGAGAUGACUGAUGAGAUGUAGACAAGAGAUGUUGAUGACUAGAGAUGACUGAUGAGAUGUAGACCAGAGAUGUUGAUGUCUAGAGAUGACUGAUGAGAUGUAGACCUGAGAUGUUGAUGACUAGAGAUGACUGAUGAGAUGUAGACCAGAGAUGUUGAUGUCUAGAGAUGACUGAUGAGAUGUAGACCAGAGAUGUUGAUGACUAGAGAUGACUGAUGAGAUGUAGACCAGAGGUGUUGAUGACUAGAGAUGACUGAUGAGAUGUAGACCAGAGAUGUUGAUGACUAGAGAUGACUGAUGAGAUCUAGACCAGAGAUGUUGAUGACUAGAGAUGACUAAUGAGAUCUAGACCAGAGAUGUUGAUGACUAGAGAUGACUGAUGAGAUGUAGACCAGAGAUGUUCAUGACUAGAGGUGACUGAUGAGAUGUAGACCAGAGAUGUUGAUGACUAGAGGUGACUGAUGAGAUGUAGACCAGAGAUGUUGAUGACUAGAGAUGACUGAUGAGAUGUAGACCAGAGAUGUUGAUGUCUAGAGAUGACUGAUGAGAUGUAGACCAGAGAUGUUGAUGUCUAGAGAUGACUGAUGAGAUGUACACCAGAGAUGUUGAUGACUAGAGAUGACUGAUGAGAUCUAGACCAGAGAUGUUGAUGACUAGAGAUGACUGAUGAGAUCUAGACCAGAGUUGUUGAUGACUAGAGGUGACUGAUGAGAUGUAGACCAGAGAUGUUGAUGACUAGAGAUGACUGAUGAGAUGUAGACCAGAGAUGUUGAUGACUAGAGAUGACUGAUGAGAUGUAGACCAGAGAUGUUGAUGUCUAGAGAUGACUGAUGAGAUGUAGACCAGAGAUGUUGAUGACUAGAGAUGACUGAUGAGAUGUAGACCAGAGGUGUUGAUGACUAGAGAUGACUGAUGAGAUCUAGACCAGGGAUGUUGAUGACUAGAGAUGACUAAUGACAUCUAGACCAGAGAUGUUGAUAACUAGAGAUGACUGAUGAGAUGUAGACCAGAGAUGUUGAUGACUAGAGGUGACUGAUGAGAUGUAGACCAGAGAUGUUGAUGACUAGAGGUGACUAAUGACAUCUAGACCAGAGAUGUUGAUGACUAGAGAUGACUGAUGAGAUGUAGACCAGAGAUGUUGAUGACUAGAGGUGACUGAUGAGAUGUAGACCAGAGAUGUUGAUGACUAGAGGUGACUGAUGAGAUGUAGACCAGAGAUGUUGAUGACUAGAGGUGACUGAUGAGAUGUAGACCAGAGAUGUUGAUGACUAGAGGUGACUGAUGAGAUGUAGACCGAACACAAGAGAUGUA